GAAGAAUAUUCUAAGGCGCGCGAGAGAACCCCUGUUAAGGAACUCGGCAAAUUAACCGCGUAACUUCGGGAAAAGCGGUGCCUCGGUAUCGUGGAUGGAUUUACUCCAAAAGCGAGAAAAGGUUGCAAAGAAAUGGCCCAAGCGACUGUUUACCAAAAACACAGGUCCCUGCUAAGUCGCAAGACGACGUAUAGGGGCUGACGCCUGCCCAGUGCUGGAAGGUUACGGGGAGAGGUCAGCGGAAACGCGAAGCUUCGAACUUAAGCCCCAGUAAACGGCGGCCGUAACUAUAACGGUCCUAAGGUAGCGAAAUUCCUUGUCGGGUAAGUUCCGACCUGCACGAAUGGCGUAACGACUUGGGCACUGUCUCGACAGGGGGCUCGGCGAAAUUGUAAUACCUGUGAAGAUGCAGGUUACCCGCGGUUAGACGGAAAGACCCCGUAGAGCUUUACUCUAGCUUGGCAUUGAGUUUUGGUAAUGUUUGUACAGCAUAGGUGGGAGACUUUGAAGCGAGUGCGCCAGUAUUCGUGGAGUCGACGUUGGGAUACCACUCUAACGUUACUGGAAUUCUAACUCUAAGCCGUAAGCCGGAUAGAGGACACUGCCAGGUGGGGAGUUUGACUGGGGCGGUCGCCUCCCAAAAAGUAACGGAGGCGCCCAAAGGUUCCCUCCGCGCGGUUGGAAAUCGCGCUUCGAGUGCAAAGGCAUAAGGGAGCUUAACUGCGAGACAAACAAGUCGAGCAGGGACGAAAGUCGGGCUUAGUGAUCCGGUGGUUCCGAGUGGAAGGGCCAUCGCUCAACGGAUAAAAGCUACCUCGGGGAUAACAGGCUUAUCUCCCCCAAGAGUCCAUAUCGACGGGGAGGUUUGGCACCUCGAUGUCGGCUCGUCGCAUCCUGGGGCUGAAGUAGGUCCCAAGGGUUUGGCUGUUCGCCAAUUAAAGCGGUACGCGAGCUGGGUUCAGAACGUCGUGAGACAGUUCGGUCCCUAUCUACCGCGGGCGCAGGAGAUUUGAGAGGCUCUGUCCUUAGUACGAGAGGACCGGGAUGGACGCACCGCUAGUGUCCCAGUUGUCACGCCAGUGGCACGGCUGGAUAGCUAUGUGCGGAACGGAUAAGCGCUGAAGGCAUCUAAGCGCGAAACCGGCCUCAAGAUGAGAUCUCCCAUAGGGUUAACCUAGUAAGACUCCUUGUGAGAACACGAGGUUGAUAGGCCGGAAGUGUAAGUGCGGUAACGUACUCAGCUGACCGGUACUAAUCAGUCGAGGGUUUGACCUU
rnacentral:rRNA from 1 species